rfam:Gossypium raimondii Chr09_contig_17, whole genome shotgun sequence.
UGUUAAAUCUAUAUUCAUUUUCAUUAUUAAAAACUAGCGUGCUUGACAGAAAAUUAGAUAAUUAUAAUUAGAGUGCCAUGUGUACUUCAUAAUGGUGUACAACUAUCAAUUUUUAACGGUAGAAGUUGAUGAAACAUUUAAUA